GCAUUGCUUUAUUUUGUUAAACAGUGAUAUUAAAUUUUCCAUAGGAAAACCACGCGAAAACUUUCAUUUUUAACGAAAUAUUAAAUAAUUUGUAGUGACGUUAUAUUUAUAUUUUAAGUGUAUAGUAAAAUAAUAUUUGUAAUUUACAGACUGCCCACGAGCUCCGAAGUUACAAGUGACAAAACAUAAAAAGUUCCCUUUUUCAAGUAAAAAAAGUGGCGUUUUACAUUUAUAAAAAAAAAAAGUAGCGAUAAUAACUGUAGGGAAUUUCUGUUUUUAAAAAUGUAUAACUGCAUUGCACUGAAGGUAGCGAUUUCAAUCCACCGGAUUAUCGGAUUUAUCUAAACAUAAAUUUGUCUUGACGAUUUGGUUGUUGACCCCAGAUGUCUUAACAUUGUUUCUCAUUUAUCUAGAUGUAAGAUGAAAAACAAAAAAAAAAAAAAAAAAAAAAAAAAAAAAAUAUACCCGCCUGGAUAAUUGUCUACGGAUAGGUGAAUAAAACAGCGCCUAUAACGCGUAUAUUAGUCGCGUUUCCGUCGCCAACGGCAGUAUAAUAUUGUAUUACUAAGUGUACCCAAGUCGUAAAACAUUAUUUUCGGUAUAGCGACUACUCACUACUAUACACGUAUUAUAGCUGGUAGACGUAUAAGCACGUCCCUGUUAAAUUCGUUAAUAAAACACACGCGAAACGCGGCAAUUAUUAUUUCUCCGAGGAACUGUCGUAGCUCGUAAGUGUGUCUUGCACAAAAAAAAAAAAAAAAAAUGCAUCUCAACAUGGGCACCAACGCGUAUAAUAUCACGCAAUUUAUUUCGUUUCGUUUUCUUAAUGAAAAUGUAAUAACAUAAUAAUAAUAAUAAUAAUAAUAUGCAUACGACAUUGCGACGGGAUAUUGCAAAAUAAUAAUAAUUGUAUUAAACGCAGCUAUACGGUGUUAUUAGGAGACACGCUAUUUUACUGCAUCACGACCGUAAUAUACCGGGUACCAGGAAAGUAUUAUUAUAUUAUUCACAUUCUCCACGCGACGAUAUAAUAUUAUAUUAUUAUCGUUGUUGUACUUGUGCUCCUAUAACCAAUACUACUACUACUACUACUAUUAC